rnacentral:lncRNA from 10 species
GUUUACUUCCAUUCUUAUGUUCAAAUUAGGUUAAUUUUUUCUUUAGUUUUCUCAAAGGGUGAAAACAUCCCAUCUCUUUUACAGACCUCCAGGGAAAGGCAUGGAGGUUUGAGGCAUGAAGACUCUAAACAGCCAAAUUAUGUCUUGGGCACAGAUUCUAUUAUUCGGUGGGAACCCAUCAGUCUAGUUUUCUGUGAAAAGGGCUGGUGCUGUAUGCUUUUGGAUAGUAGAUGGAGGAAAACAAGAAAAAGUGGUCAUGGUGCAAUAGUCAUCUGAUACUUUCAACAUUUACCAUGGCUUCCAUUCGCUCUACAGACUCCAGAUGAACUCGGUUUUCCAAUAUCAACUCUACCAAUCCCUACCCUCCAGUACCAGGACGUUCAGCAUAGCUGAAGGAUGUCACAAAAUUAUGAUGUAGUAUUCUCUAUGUUUUUCUUAAGUUGUAACUUCACUUAAGUUUCAUAGGUACUUAGCAAUUUUUGUAUACUUCUUGCUGCAAGAAUCAUGGUGACUGUUUCAAGGAUCUUACAAUUUGCUUUUGCCAUUUAGUAUAGUCUGCCUUAUGUUUUAUGUGUGUGUGUUUGUAUGUGUAUAAUUUCUGACUACAUCCUAGAGCUUGGUCCUAAGUUUUAAUAAAUUUUUACAGCCUCUAAGUCCAUAUUUAUUUAACAAAUAUUUAUUGAAUAAAUUAUAUGUGUUAGACAUGUUAUAAACAUAAAGAA